AGAGUUUGAUCCUGGCUCAGGAUGAACGCUGGCGGCGUGCUUAACACAUGCAAGUCGAACGAAGCACUUUAUUACGAUUUCUUCGGAAUGACGAUUUAGUGACUGAGUGGCGGACGGGUGAGUAACGCGUGGGUAACCUGCCUCAUACAGGGGGAUAACAGUUAGAAAUGACUGCUAAUACCGCAUAAGACCACAGCACCGCAUGGUGCAGGGGUAAAAACUCCGGUGGUAUGAGAUGGACCCGCGUCUGAUUAGGUAGUUGGUGGGGUAACGGCCUACCAAGCCGACGAUCAGUAGCCGACCUGAGAGGGUGACCGGCCACAUUGGGACUGAGACACGGCCCAAACUCCUACGGGAGGCAGCAGUGGGGAAUAUUGCACAAUGGGGGAAACCCUGAUGCAGCGACGCCGCGUGAGCGAAGAAGUAUUUCGGUAUGUAAAGCUCUAUCAGCAGGGAAGAAAAUGACGGUACCUGACUAAGAAGCCCCGGCUAACUACGUGCCAGCAGCCGCGGUAAUACGUAGGGGGCAAGCGUUAUCCGGAUUUACUGGGUGUAAAGGGAGCGUAGACGGUGUGGCAAGUCUGAUGUGAAAGGCAUGGGCUCAACCUGUGGACUGCAUUGGAAACUGUCAUACUUGAGUGCCGGAGGGGUAAGCGGAAUUCCUAGUGUAGCGGUGAAAUGCGUAGAUAUUAGGAGGAACACCAGUGGCGAAGGCGGCUUACUGGACGGUAACUGACGUUGAGGCUCGAAAGCGUGGGGAGCAAACAGGAUUAGAUACCCUGGUAGUCCACGCCGUAAACG
rnacentral:rRNA from 1 species